CCCCAUCAGCAGCAUCUUCCGGGUGGAGGUUGUGGGGGAAGCUGGGACUUUGCGCAGCCGCUCUCACGGCUUGCGUGCCAAGCAGAUAAAGGUUCUGGGUUCGUCUUCCUAGAUGAUGUUGAAAUGUGGAGGAAUUGCGUUAACGAAUGCAUGCCUGCACACGUGGAAAUAAACCGCGUAAAGAAAGAAUUGUUAAGCUUUGUUUCUUUAAAAUCUACACUCAAACUGUUCCCAUGGAAGCAACACAGGAAAAUUAGUAUGUUUUCAACCACUACCAGGGGGUAAAUUUUAAUUCACGACUCCGUUAGUGCGAAAUUCAAUCUGUUGCCUACCCCAAAGAAACACGUUGUGCCCCAAUGAUAAACAUUUUAUUUAAAAUGCUAUUUUAAACUUUAGUACUAAUGUUAAAUAAUGGUUUGCACAGCGACCGCUCAAGUUUUCACAUUGUAGUGUGCCAGUUUGACAAUUCAAAAUCUGAGGAAUUUAUGAUAGAAAGCUUUAUGAUCGAACAGUUUAUAAAUAAAUGUUUUACCAGUUCUCUCUUGACAACUUGAUGUUUACUUGCAGUAAUGUAUAUCUUUCAAAGUUGGUGCUAUCUGGUAGAAGCAAAGGAAUAAAAUCACUUGAACAGUU